AAGACUAUACUUUCAGGGAUCAUUUCCAUAGGUUGUUCCUAGAGAAGUCUCUCU
rnacentral:snRNA from 1 species